CCCCUUUGGCGGAGGACGGGAUGGGAUGGGAUGGGAUGGGGGCGGAGCAAGGCUGGAGGCAGGCCUGAGCGGAGAUCUUUGCCAAUCACUUCGAGUCACCUAGCUCCCAGCCUUGUCCACGGAUCCGUGGCCUAAUUCUUUCCACGUGAUAGACCCUUUUAACGAAUUGCAUAAUUGUUGGGCUUCUCUUCCCUCUUUUGGACAACGGCAGUGUUAUCUGAGCUUCCUUUCCUUUCCUGUUACCCACUUAAGGAGGCCUUCCCCGACCCCUCCCCUUUCUGGGUUUGCUAGACUUCUUUGAGUUCCCUUCAUAACCUAUGCGUUUUCCUGACGCUGAACUCUUUCUUAUUUUUCUGUCUUCUCCACUAGUCUUCUAAAGACCUAGAUAUCUGCUCGCAUCUUCAGAUCAAUCCCUCACCUUCUUCACCCAGCUCUGGGCUUGGAGGCUGACCCGCAGGGACCGUGUCAACAGUUUCCCUUACCUCUGGCUUUCUAUUGGGUUCGGCCAAUGAGAAGCAUAGGCAGAAGACCAGAGGGAAGUAGGAGUGUGAACUUAGGGAGUUUGAAAUUGGUAUGCUAUGGGAUGUGAGUCAUUUCUCCGCUGGAACAGGCAGACACUCAAGCUAGGCAGCAGUUGUCUUCUCCCAUGUAUGUGAAGAAGCAAAGAAAGAUGAUGGGCAGAGAGAAUAGGUUGAAGUCAGAGGACGGAGGAAAGCAGAGAGAGAAGACCAUGUUUCCAGAGAAAGACCCUGAGAUAGUGGCUGCCCUGUUUCGGUCAGCUUUGGAGGCCCAGUUGCUUUCUUGCUCUAGGGUUUUGUGGGAUAGCCUUGCAUCCUUAUAAUAAACUGUUUUUUCC
rnacentral:lncRNA from 1 species